UACGUAGGGUCCGAGCGUUGUCCGGAAUUAUUGGGCGUAAAGGGCUCGUAGGCGGUCUGUUGCGUCGGGAGUGAAAACUUACAGCUUAACUGUGAGCGUGCUUUCGAUACGGGCAGACUUGAGGCAUUCAGGGGAGAACGGAAUUCCUGGUGUAGCGGUGAAAUGCGCAGAUAUCAGGAGGAACACCGGUGGCGAAGGCAGCUCGCUGGGACGUUACUGACGCUGAGACGCGAAAGCGUGGGGAGCAAACAGG
rnacentral:rRNA from 1 species